AUUUGCUGUUCACAUCCUUCCAAAGGACGAUUAGGCUAUAUAAAGCUCAGGUUAGUCCUGCAUUCAAUCACAGCAGCUACGCUCACCAAAGGAGAUUCUCGAGACCAUCAGAUAUCUCACACUGUCAGACGGCACGAUGUUUACACUGACAGUUUCAGAGAAGGCCAUCUUUUCAGUGGUGUCAGUGCUGAUCCUGCUGGCCACUGCAGGCCAGUCUGCAACACUAGUAGAUAACUCUGAUCCAACAGCCAGCCCUGCUCCAUCAGACCUCACGCUGACGACUCGGCUUGACAAUGGCAGUAUGGAGGAGCCUCGAGUUCAGCGACUGCACGCACCAUGCAGGGAGGAAUAUGCUGA